CCCCGGAUUCACCCAGGCCCGCGACUCCGACGUGCAGCUUAGGUCUGAGGGUCAGUUGGCUCAGGCAUCGCCCGGUACGACCAGAGAUAGUGACUGAGGAAGAGCAGCCUCACAUCUGGCAGUUUGCCUCUGGGAGAAUUCCAGCGUGACAUCUGCAGCUCUGUGGUUCCAGAAAGGAUGGUUCCCACAUUGAAGAAGACAUCUGUGGGACUGAGUUCCACCGAAAUGCAGAGGAACCAAAAAUGAAAAUGAAAAAUGUAACCAGAGUUGUGUGCCACUAGUUUUAAGCUUUGGUUUUUCUAAAUUAUUUUCUGGCUUCUCCUUCUGGGCUUUGCUGUAAACUUGCCAAGCAUGAGAACAACUCUUCAUCUAUUGAGUGGCAUUUUAAGCCAUCCUGUCAAAGUAUCUCCUGUCAUUUUUAUUAUUAUUACUCUAUAUUGCCUGCAAGACACGACUGGAGAAUUCUUAGUGUAAGAAUUGUUUGUUUCCUCUCUCCUUCUUUCCCACGUUUUCCCAGGGAAGUCAGUCUUGCAUUUUAAUGCAUACUAUAUACAUAUCUCGUUUAGCUUACUGAACCACUUGUUUUAACAGAAUAAAAC
rnacentral:lncRNA from 1 species